rnacentral:rRNA from 1 species
GCGGUGGAGGUGGACAGGAUCCGGGCCAUGUGGAGAACGGGGGAGUCGUUCAGACCGACGGCUUUGCCCGGCCGCGCAGGCGCACAAGAAGGCGGCCACGUAGCUCAGCCGUCCGGCGACGGAAAUGGAACGCCAACACCUGAUGGUGCCAUGGCUUGGCCGGCCAAGGAUCAGGCUGCUGGCGCUGGC